GAUGAACGCUGGCGGCGUGCCUAAUACAUGCAAGUCGAGCGAACAGACGAGGCGCUUGCGCCUCUGACGUUAGCGGCGGACGGGUGAGUAACACGUGGAUAACCUACCUAUCAGACUGGGAUCACUUCGGGAAACCGGAGCUAAUACCGUAUAAUAUAUUGAACCGCAUGGUUCAAUAGUGAAAGACGGUUUUGCUGUCACUUAUAGAUGGAUCCGCGCCGCAUUAGCUAGUUGGUAAGGUAACGGCUUACCAAGGCAACGAUGCGUAGCCGACCUGACAGGGUGAUCGGCCACACUGGAACGGAGACACGGUCCAGGCUCCUACGGGAGGCAGCAGUAGGGAAUGUGCCGCAAUGGGCGAAAGCAUGACGGAGCAACGCCGCGUGAGUGAUGAAGGUCUUCGGAUCGUAAAACUCUGUUAUGAGGGAAGAACAACUGUGUAAGGAACUAUGCACGUAGUGACGGUACCGAAUCAGAAAGCCACGGCUAACUACGUG
rnacentral:rRNA from 1 species